CACACUUGCAGGCGCCUCUCACAGUCCGAGUUUCGUUUUCUAGCUGAGCAAGACGACAGCCAUAUUUGACUUAGAUUUCAUGUCCGUGUAUCAAGAAUGUAAUCUCAAUCCCAAAGACACAGCUGCCCGCCUAACAUCAGAAGAUGGAGGCUAAACACGUUAUCGUCAUUCAGAGGAACCACAAGUUCCUGAAGGAGCUCCUUAUCGUGGAGCCUGUGCUGGACGCCUUGUUGCAGGACGGAGUCUUCACACAGGAAGACUAUGACAACUGUAGACAGGCCGGGCCAGGGAAGUGUGAGAUGCUGUUAGAAAUAUUGAAGAAGAAAGGCGUGGAGGGAUACAGGACACUGUGUGGGGUCCUUGAUUCCACGCAACCGUUCAUUAAAGAAAGACUUGAUGCAACAUCCUUGGAAGGAGGCAACUCCGACCUCGUCUUUGUUAACAAACUGAAGGUGCAAUCCGAGCACAGAAAGGAACUUGCCGGAAAGGACGAGCAGAUAGCAGAGCUGCAAUCCGGAAUGGAGGAUUUAACGAAACAGCUGGAAGACAAACAGAAGGAUUAUGAUACACUGGAGGAAACAAACAAGAAACACAGAGAGGAACUCAUGUCACAGAUGGAUAAACAGAAAGAGGAAAUCGAAACUUUGACGACGAAACUAUCAGAGUCGAACCAGGAGGUAGAGCAGUGCCAAAAACAACGUGAUGAAUUGAAGCUGAGACUACAAGCAGAACAGGAAGCGUAUGAGUUGUUAUCAGGAUUACCUACAUCACAGUCUUCGGACAGGGAGGUCAUGACUGAGGCCGACCAACAACCAGAUCCUGCUGAGGGUUCCAGCAUGUGCAAGUUGUCAACAGUUCCGGACUGUGAUGACAAGCAGCUGUAUCUACUGUCAUGUCUUCAUUCUGUCUGUAAGCCAUGCAUUGACCACCAUGCUGUCCAAACCAACCAGACCUCCAUCAAGUGCCCCUGCGGUCUUGAGUUCAGACUUGAGGAUACAGUAGCAGACCACGUCGGACGCAAUAAGACUGCCUAUGCUGCCAGAAGCGAUGGGGAGAAGAAGUGUGACUAUCUUGAAGAAGAUCAUGAUGUACAGGCUGCGUGGCACUGUCAUGACUGUGAUGGUUAUUUGUGUUCUCAGUGCCGUAAACUACACAAUAACGUUAAGCGGAAUCGAGGUCACAGCAUGGAUGAGGUCGGCCAGGCAGAUGCUAUCCCCAUGAAGCAGUGGCUGAAAGAACCUUACUGCAAGGAUCACCCCAGCAAUGAACUACAACUGUAUGAUCACACAUGUAAGAAGGCCAUCUGUAUUGUGUGUCGCCUUGGGGACCAUGAACAUCACAAGAAUGAAGAUUUAAGUCGUUCCCACGAGAAGGCAAAGCUUCAGCUGGAGGAACAACUGCAGAAGCAACGACUGAAACUGAAAGAUGUCAAAGACACAAUUGGAACUGUGAACAGUCACAAAGAGGAACUUGACAAUAAACAGAGAAAGCUGGAAGAAGAGGUUAUUGCCGUUUCCAAACGUGUUGCUGUGAAGUUCCUUCAUCGACAGAAGAAACUCAGAGAGGAGAUCCAGAUGGCUCUGGACAAUACAAAUAAGGUCGUUCAGGAGAACCUGGAUAGUUUACACGAUGUUCAGUCUUCCAUCAUAUCAACGAUAGACUACACCCAGAGAACGCUUGAAUCCACAAGACGAGAGGAGCUUAUUACUCUCACUGCUACAAUACAGGAGAAGUGUGACGAAAAUCUCAAGAGGGAACUUCCAGAAGAUGACAAGAGGGAUACGAGUAUCCUCCUUUCCUUUCAGGGGCAGACAGCUCUAGAGGAACUCAUCGACACAUUUGGUGGUCUUGCCUCCAGUCUUCAGUUGGAUCAUAUUCCAGAUUCACAGCCUACUUUACAAGGUCUCCAUUCACAAAAUAACCUGCUCACAGUGAACAACAAGGUGCACGAAGGCAGGUGGCAUCAUCUGGAACAGAUACUACAUCACGUCACAGGUACAACACAUGGGGCCUGCCUCCAGUGCCGAGGGAUCGCCGGAACCCUUCACCAGCAUCCUCACCACACAAGGCGUGUAUGAAGCGGUGGCAAAUGUUCUUGCAGCGAGUUCCAUCACAGUAUACUUCGUUGGAGACAGCAACGUUAUCAGCGUCAUAUGUCCUAAACUACAUCUGUCCGCUGAUCGAGCCAACACAGACAGGUGCCACGUAACUACAGACGGUGAGCUGAUGAACUCGCCACCCGCCACACAACACAAACACAGCGGCAGGUUACGGAAAUAUUGGGGUACUUGUGCCUCCACCCCCAUCCCCCUUCUUCCAUCCCCCUCUACUGU
rnacentral:misc_RNA from 1 species